rnacentral:rRNA from 1 species
UACAGAGGUGGCAAGCGUUGUUCGGAAUUACUGGGCGUAAAGGGCGCGUAGGCGGCCUUCUAAGUCAGACGUGAAAUCCCCCGGCUUAACCUGGGAACUGCGUCUGAUACUGGAGGGCUUGAGUGCGGGAGAGGGAUGUGGAAUUCCAGGUGUAGCGGUGAAAUGCGUAGAUAUCUGGAGGAACACCGGUGGCGAAGGCGGCGACCUGGGUAGAUACUGACGCUGAGGUGCGAAAGCGUGGGGAGCAAACAGGG